rnacentral:rRNA from 1 species
UAUUGCUCUUCAACGAGGAAUACCUAGUAAGCGUGAGUCAUCAGCUCGCGUUGAUUACGUCCCUGCCCUUUGUACACACCGCCCGUCGCUACUACCGAUUGAAUGGCUUAGUGAGGUCUUCGGAUCGGCUUUGGGGAGAAGGCAACGGCACCUCAUUGCUGAGAAGUUGAUCAAACUUGGUCAUUUAGAGGAAGUAAAAGU